CCGGUUAAGUAGUACCGACCCUCGGGGACGUACGGCGACGCCAAGUGUCGAAAACGUCUAAACGGAAAGUUUGAACGGGGGACCCGGGCGACGAAGACCGGUGGAGGUAUAGUGGUUAAUUCGAUGCAACGCGAAGAACCUUACCAGGACUUGACAUGUCGCGAAGUCCAGUGGAAACACAGGAGUGCCUUCGGGAGCGCGAACACAGGUGGUGCAUGGCUGUCGUCAGCUCGUGUCGUGAGAUAGUUGGGUUAAGUCCCGCAACGAGCGCAACCCUCGUGUUUAGUUGCCAGUCAUUAAGUUGGGCACUCUAAACAGACUAGCCGGUGACAAACCGGAGGAAGGUGGGGAUGACGUCAAGUCAGCAUGCCCCUUACGUCCUGGGCUACACACGUACUACAAUGGUAGGGACAGAGGGCAGCCAACCCGCGAGGGCCGAGCUAAUCCCGUAAACCCCUGCCUCAGUUCAGAUUGCAGGCUGCAACUCGCCUGCAUGAAGGCGGAAUCGCUAGUAAUCGCAGGUCAGCAUACUGCGGUGAAUCCGUUCCCGGGCCUUGUAC
rnacentral:rRNA from 1 species